rnacentral:piRNA from 1 species
UUGGACUAUAUUCCGGACACGCCUCCGGGGC